AACGCGAAGAACCUUACCUGGGCUUGACAUGCUGGUGAAAGCCGGUGGAAACAUCGGCCCCUCUUCGGAGCGCCAGCACAGGUGCUGCAUGGCUGUCGUCAGCUCGUGUCGUGAGAUGUUGGGUUAAGUCCCGCAACGAGCGCAACCCUCGCUCCCAGUUGCCAGCGGUUCGGCCGGGGACUCUGGGGGGACUGCCGGCGUUAAGCCGGAGGAAGGUGGGGACGACGUCAAGUCAUCACGGCCCUUACGUCCAGGGCGACACACGUGCUACAAUGCCUGGUACAGCGCGUCGCGAACCCGCGAGGGGGAGCCAAUCGCUAAAAGCCGGGCUAAGUUCGGAUUGCAGUCUGCAACUCGACUGCAUGAAGCCGGAAUCGCUAGUAAUCGCGGAUCAGCCACGCCGCGGUGAAUACGUUCCCGGGCCUUGUACACACCGUAGUAC
rnacentral:rRNA from 1 species